GCUGGAGGCUGAGGACGCCACCACCCCGUGGCCAAGGGCGUUGGGGCCCAACCCAGGAGCCGGGUGCUGCCCCACCCACGGGCCGCCUAGCCCUCGGAGGGCAGAGAACUGGCUGCCUUUGGGGUCACUUGGAACAGGCAUGAGCCAGCUCCCAGCCUGCAUUCUGGAUGAUUCCGUGUGGACUGCCACGUCAAGGAAGAGAACGAUAAAGUCCCGGCGCUGUGGGGAGCUUGCCUUUCGCUGCUAAGUGCCCCGGCUGACUUCCUACCACGCACCCCCGCCAUGAGCCUGUGAUCCUAGGAGGUGCUGCUGGCGAGCUCACCUCUCAGAUGAAGCAGUGAGGCCCAGAGUGGGUCCUGGACACCACCUGCCCCGCAGCUGGGCCCCUGACCCUCAAGAGACUGUGGCUGGGCAGCCAUGGGUUCCUGGACAGGCAUCCCCAGGCCCGUGUCCGCCGGGACGUGGAACCCUCUAGGCAUGCUGGGUUGGACAGGUGCCAGGUACCUCUCCUGCAAGGUGUGACCUAGGUGUCUUCACACAUACUCCAUAGGUCCAAGCCCCUGCAGCUGCCUGGGGGAGGAGGGGACACUCCACUUGACUCACUCCACUCUUACCACGGAGAUACCUCCAGCGCGGGGCAAGGCCUUUCUGGGCCUGGUUGUCUUUUCGGGAAACCCUUGCUCAUCAGCCUCUGUCAGGCACAGGACCUGUAGUCCCAUGAGAGGGGCCUGGGCCCCCGUGGGGGGGGUCCCUCCUCCUACCCCAGGGCAGGGGCUCUUGCUAAGCAACAUCUGAGGCUACAAAGGGUGGGGGCUCCGGAUCCCUCACCUUUACCCAGCCUCCAGGAAGGCAAGCCUAGACUUCGGUCACCAUUUUUUUGUUUUUUUUUGAGACACAGCCUCACUGUUGCCCAAGCUGUAGGCGGUGCUGUGGCUCAAUCUCGGCCUCACCACAAUCUCCACCUCCUGCGUUCAAUCGAUUCUCCUGCCUCAGCCUCUUGAGUAGCUGGAAUUAUGGGCACCAGCCACCACGCCCGGCUAAUUUUUGUAUUUUUAGUAGAGAUAGGGUUUCUCCAUGUUGGUCAGGCUGGUCUCAAACUCCCGACCUCAAGUGAUCCACCCACCUCAGCCUCCCAAAGUGCUGGGAUUACAGGCAUGAGCCACUGCGCCCGGCCUCAUCUUUGUACUUUUAGUAGAGACGGGGUUUCACCAUGUUGGUCGGGCUGGUCUUGAGCUUCUGAGCUUGUGAUCUGCCUGCCCUGGCCUCUCAAAGAUCUGGGAUUACAGGCAUGAGCCACCAUGCCCGGCCUCUUGGUCAGCUUCAGUGUGUUCGUGGAUCAUACAGGGACUUGGGCACGUCACAGACACCUGAUCUUCAACAUGCAUGGGUGCACAUCACUGCAGGUCCACCAUAUGUGCCAGCUGGUCUUUGCCCCAGCAGAAGGGUCACCUGCGUCUACAGUGUCUUUUGUCCUCUCUCCGUGUACCAAAAGAGCAAACAGGUGUGUGACUCCAAUACAGGUCUGGGUCGGUCCCAUCCUCAGCCUGUCUGCUGCUGGUGCCUGUGGCUGCCGGCAGCUGCCGUCUCCGGAUGCCAAGUGCAUGGUGUGUGACUGUGACUCUGUGUCCAGCAGGUAUGCAGCAGAGGUGUGAGUGCGCACCUCUGUGUGGCCUGUUGCCAGAUGUGUGUGCCGGGGAUGUCCCUCUGUGGCCCAGGCCCGGCCUUUGGGCUGCUGGGAUGGCCUGGCUGAGGCAGGAACAGACAGGACCUCCCAACCUCCACAUUCCUGAGCUGUGACUCAGGCCUGUGGGGAGAGGGUGAGUCACAGGGAAGGGAAGCCGUCCCACCCUGCGGCCACAUCCGAGGAACAGAAGGGAAACUGAGGCCGAUGGCUUUCCUGUGUAGCAGCCCCUGAAUCUCAGGCAUGGGGGACCUCCCAAGGGACCUGAGAUCCCACCCCUAGGCUCAGGUAAGAGCUAGGGAGAGGGACAGGUUUAACCCUUCCUCCUCUGGGCUGCCCUGGGAGGCACGGCUCCCGCUGACACACAGCACGUGUGCCCACCCCAGGGACAUGAGUCACAGCACCAGGCAUGGACACAUAUGCUCUGUGGGUCCCAGCACAUCCGACUCACGCACACCCAGCCCUGUCCCCUGCUGCACCCACAUCCACAUCCGGAUAAGCGCACGCUUUGGAGUCCAAGCGCCCACCUCCUGUGCACACACAGCGCCUCACAGACGGGUUCCUGUGUCCUUGCACACGCGCGGGUGCCGGGGGCUCCGUGCACACAUCUCCAAGACGCCGUGCGCGCCCCUUUCUGCCCCGCGCACCGAGACAGGCCGGCCUGGGGUCCCUGCAGCACCCACCACGCCGUGUGCACUUGGAGAGCCGCACAUUCGUGUCCACACAAGCUUGUGUCUCCGUCUCUUUACCCACGAGUCCUCUGCCCACGGGCACACACCUGGCAACCCGCACGCCCGGUCUCUGGGUCUCUGCAGCCCCUAUCCUGGCUCUGGGCCCCGCGGACUGGGGCCAGCUGGGCCGGCUGCAGCUUCUGCCAGGACAGUCCCAUUUCCGCGCCCCCGCGGGGCGGCCGCCAGGUGCACGAUCCCGGCCCCCGCCUGGCAGGGAGGGGGCGGUAAUUAUUGCGGCCCCGGGGUCCCCCCCCACGCGCCUUUCAUCCCCGGCCACGCCCGUCCCAGGCCUAGAUGCUCUCUACCGCCUCCCGCCCGGUCAUUAGUCGGGGUCGGGGGAGGACCCACCGUCCGGCGGGCAGGGCCCCGCGGGGAGGGCGGAGCGGCUGGUGCGGUGGCGAGGCGGCCCCGCCCCCGUCUCCAUGGCGACGCCACACCGGGGCGGGGGCCGGGAGGAGUAUCCGGGUGCAGGAGGCGCGCGCCCCCUCCGGGACCGCAGGCGAGAAAGGGGGCGGUGAGUGAAUGGGCCCACGCGGCCCAAGACAGAGGCGCGGGGAGCAGGCCGCCAUGGCAUCAGAUGAAGGCAAGCUUUUCGUUGGAGGGCUGAGUUUUGACACCAAUGAGCAGUCGCUGGAGCAGGUCUUCUCAAAAUACGGACAGAUCUCUGAAGUGGUGGUUGUGAAAGACAGGGAGACCCAG